UACAUGAAUAUAUGCAUGCCAUAAUGAUUCAAUGAUUGUAACCAAUAUAAUAAGAUUACCUGAACUUACCUGCGCACCCCGUAGAAUCAUUUUGGCAUUUCAUCACAAUGCAAAUUUCACAUAACAUAAUUUAAUCAUGGCAUGAAAUGCAUAAAUCAAUUCAAAAGCAUUGCAGAAACUAUCAAUCAUAUAUAUAUAUAUAUAUAUAUAUAUAUAUAUAUAUAUAUAUACACACACUAUAAAAAGAAAAAGAACCACUCACCUGGAGUUCGCACUACAACUCCCUAGCAUGAAUAUCGAGGUGUCACGAACGAUCGGCUCCUAGAACAAUUAUCAAAUCACGUCUCAAAAUUCUUAUCAAUAGAACACAUAACUUACAUAAAACACAUCCCCCAAGGACGUUCGAGAAUAAUUUGAAACCCAUUGACCAAAAGUUAACCGUCUAUCAAAGGUCGAUGGUAGGGUCCAUAGCCCUACGUAAUCCGCAACUUGGAUUUCCAAUCCAUAACUUCCAAAGAUUCACAGUAUGCUUCUAGAAUAUCAUACUAAAGUUUCAUUAUGAUCUAACGGUUGGAUCUCCGUUAAUUGCAAAUUCAAGUAGCGGCAACGUUUCAUGUUACGAGCUUACAAAUCUAAUUCGGGAAGAUCCGUGUGUGAAUUCCGGAUCCGUAACUUUCUAAUAUCCUCAAAUAUUAUGUACUAUAACGUAUUAAAGUUUGGUGACGAUCCAACGAUCUGAUCGUCAAUUCAUAUAAGGAUCAAGUGGCGGUCUCUAUCAAAACUAUGUUCAAGCGAUGAAAUUUCAUCAAUCGGACUUCACAUAUAGAAUUGGGGUAUCAAAUUUAGCCUAGGAAGGUCAAGGAUGCCUCAGCCCACACGCC
rnacentral:lncRNA from 1 species